GACGAACGCUGGCGGCGUGCUUAACACAUGCAAGUCGAACGGAAAGGCCCUGCUUUUGUGGGGUGCUCGAGUGGCGAACGGGUGAGUAACACGUGAGUAACCUGCCCUUGACUUUGGGAUAACUUCAGGAAACUGGGGCUAAUACCGGAUAGGAGCUCCUGCUGCAUGGUGGGGGUUGGAAAGUUUCGGCGGUUGGGGAUGGACUCGCGGCUUAUCAGCUUGUUGGUGGGGUAGUGGAUUACCAAGGCUUUGACGGGUAGCCGGCCUGAGAGGGUGACCGGACACACUGGGACUGAGAUACGGCACAGACUCCUACGGGAGGCAGCAGUGGGGAAUAUUGCACAAUGGGAGGAAGCCUGAUGCAGCAACGCCGCGUGCGGGAUGACGGCAUUCGGGUUGUAAACCGCUUUCGCCUGUGACGAAGCGUGAGUGACGGUAAUGGGUAAAGAAGCACCGGCUAACUACGUG
rnacentral:rRNA from 1 species